ACUGAGUACGAGUUUAUCCGUGGCUACAGGACGAACGCUGGCGGCGUGCCUAACACAUGCAAGUCGAACGGAGUUGUUCCUUCGGGGACAACUUAGUGGCGAACGGGUGAGUAACGCGUGAGAAACCUGCCUUUCAGUGGGGGACAACAGUUGGAAACGACUGCUAAUACCGCAUAAUGUAUCGAUGGGGCAUCCCAAUGAUACCAAAGAUUUAUGUGCUGAGAGAUGGUCUCGCGUCUGAUUAGCUAGAUGGCGGGUAACGGCCCACCAUGGCGACGAUCAGUAGCCGGUCUGAGAGGAUGAACGGCCACAUUGGGACUGAGAUACGGCCCAGACUCCUACGGGAGGCAGCAGUGGGGAAUAUUGGGCAAUGGGGGAAACCCUGACCCAGCAACGCCGCGUGAAGGAAGAAGGCCUUCGGGUUGUAAACUUCUUUUAGCAGGGACGAAGAACGUGACGGUACCUGCAGAAAAAGCAACGGCUAACUACGUG
rnacentral:rRNA from 1 species